rnacentral:rRNA from 1 species
UACGUAGGGUGCGAGCGUUGUCCGGAAUUAUUGGGCGUAAAGAGCUCGUAGGCGGUGUGUCGCGUCGGCCGUGAAAACCUGCAGCUUAACUGUGGGCUUGCGGUCGAUACGGGCAUCACUGGAGUUCGGCAGGGGAGACUGGAAUUCCUGGUGUAGCGGUGAAAUGCGCAGAUAUCAGGAGGAACACCGGUGGCGAAGGCGGAUCUCUGGGCCUUACCUGACGCUGGAGGCGCGAAAGCCGUGGGGGAGCAAACAGG